GCGCUCACUUCAGUAGCACGUACACUGAACCUGGAAUGAUGCAGAGAUUAGCAUGACCCCGUGCAAGGAUGACAUGCAAAUUCAUGACACAUUCUAUAGUGAA